rnacentral:rRNA from 1 species
GACGAGCCUCACGAACGUUAUUCGGAAUUACUGGGCUUAAAGGGUGCGUAGGCGGCGCGGAAAGUUGGGUGUGAAAUCCCUCGGCUCAACCGAGGAACUGCGCCCAAAACUACCGUGCUCGAGGAAGAUAGAGGUGAACGGAACUUACGGUGGAGCGGUGAAAUGCGUUGAUAUCGUAAGGAACACCCGUGGCGAAAGCGGCUCACUGGGUCUUUUCUGACGCUGAUGCACGAAAGCUAGGGGAGCAAACGGG